rnacentral:lncRNA from 1 species
AACAACGUAGUUUUGUUCCUUUCAUUCAGCCUCAACCUUUUUCUUUUCAUCUUUCUUCACAGAAAGAAUCUACUUGUAGAUACAAGUGAAAGAAACUUUCAUCUCUCUCUCGCUUGAACACCUUCCAUCACCAUCUUCACCUCAGCCAUCUGAUCACCAUCAUCAACUGCAAACCCAACCAUAAAUUCGAGGGAACCCAAGUCCCAAUAGUAAAACCAAAGAAAAAGACAAUCCACCAGCAACCAAAAAUAAAAGAAAAAGAAAACAAGUCAGAGAACUAAAAAAGGAGAAAGAACAGAAAGGAGGAAGAGCUCUCUGUCGCUGGUGUAUGUUGGCUGUAGAACGGCGGCAGUGGGCAGAGCAAGAAUGGGGGAAAAACAAGAAACAAAAAGAGGUAAUUGGUCGGAGGGAAUCUACUUGCAGACUGAAAGAUGAAAGGAAAGUGAUUAAAAUGAAAUACAAUUAUUCUUUUUUAUUUUAUGUUAGUUUACCGUUGUUUUCAUUAAAUUUUAACAGUGAAAUGUAAAAGCAUAAAAUCAACUAUCAAACGCAAUCUAUAAAUUUUAGAUAUGGAACUCAACUUUAUAAAUUAAUUAUUCACGAGUACUGCUUAAAUUAGAAAUGAUGAUUUAUCAUCUAAUUGAAUAUAUUUUCAUGAGACAUAUUUCUUUUAAGAAAUAUAUCUAAAAUAAAAGGUUGUGAUUUUUCAAAAUUGUAUUCAUUUAGAAAGAUUAUGAUGCUCACAAAUUACAUUACAAUCAAUUCAAUUUCAGAAAUUAGAAUAAAAGUUAGAGAAUUUCUUGAUUUUUUUAAUUAAAAGAAAUUUAAAACUUCGUUGUUUCCUGAGAGGACCUUUGUCUUAACUCUUUAAUAACUUUGUGUGGGACAAAUAGUCCUCUUUAGAGAACUUCAUCCGCAACAAUAUUACAUAAAUUUACAUACAACUUUAAGAAAGAUGUUUACGUACCAAUUCAACCAUUAUUUUGAAAAUAGAUUUACCUUUAAUAGUAGAGUAAUGCAUCCCAUGCAACAUAAAUGUUUUCCUUUUAAGUUAAAAAGUUAUUGGUAAAAACUAGAGCGAGUAAAACUUAAUUCAGUUUGAAAAAUAAUUUGAAUUUCAAGUUAAUUGAAUCGAGUUAUUUAAGUUAAUUCGAAUAAGUAAUUUAAAUUUCGAGUUUGAAUCGGGCUAAAUUUUACAAUUCAAGUAACUCAAAUAAUAAAAAUAACAGAUUAGUGUAAAUACCCCUUUGGCCCUUGUCAAUUUUGAAAAUGAGCAAAUUAGUCACUCUCUCAUAAAAAAUUAAAAAUAAAAUAAAAUAAUUUUCAAAAAUUUAAAAUAUUUAUAAAAAUUCUAAAAUUUAUAUUUUUUUUAAAAAGUAUAAUAAUUUUUAAAAAAAAUCUAAAGAAUAUAUAAAGAAAGUUAAUUUUUUUUAAAAUUUCUAAAAUAAUAAUUUUUGGACCUAAAUAGGUUCGUUAAUGAUUCAAGUUUAUCGUGCUAAAAGUAUAUUCUUUUUUUUUUUUUGCUUUGAAAAAAUUUUCAAAUAUAUAUGAUUUCAAAAUUAUGUGCUCCAACAUCGAAUAAGUUAUACUGUAACAAGAUUUUAAUUUGAUAUGUUUAAUAUUUUAAAAUUUAAUUCAAACAAUUUCACUUGAUUCGGUUUGACUCAAAUUUUAUUUUACUUGACUCGAUUUGAAAAAAAUUUAAAUAGAGUUAAGAUGACAAAAUAUGACUCAUCAACUUGAUUAACUUAAAACUUUUUCUCUCGAUUCGAUUGAAUGCUCACCCCUAAAUAGAUAUAUAAGUUUUUUUAUAUAAAAUAUGUAAGUUUUUAUUACAUCAAUUUUGAUGUUUUUAAUUUAUAGAUAUAUUUAUUAUUUAAACCUGUUACAUGGGUUAUUUUUUUAACUUAAUUGAUAAAAACUACACUAAUAAUAUAUGUAUAUAUAUUAUACAAAUCCAUAUCUUAAUUAAUAUGAAAUGAAGAUGAAAUAUUAUCCUAUACUUUGAUAUCAAAUAAUCAUUAUAGAAAUACUAAUGAAUUAAUUUCUAUUUGGCUAAAACUAUCUUUUAUACAAAUAUGUGUGUGACAACGUCAUGACCAGCCCAUUCUACAACGUCCAAACAUCAGUCCAUAAGCUUUAGAGUCAAAGUAAGUUAAAUAUGGUUGCUUUGUGUUAGGUAAAUUAUAAAAUAAACAUUUGGACUUAUACUAAUUAAAUUAAAUUAAAAAUACUUCUCUUAAUUAUUAAAUUAAAUGAUAAAGGAUUGUGUUUUAAUUUAAAAUUAGUAUCUAUAUUUUAAUUUGAUAUAUAAUUUGGUUCCUCUAUGUAAUAUCAUUAAUUAGUUAAAAUAGUUGAUACUUUUAAUUAUUCCAAUUAAAAUAUCGAGGUUGAAUUUAAAAAAAAAAAAAACAUUACAACUCUAUGUAGAAAUAAAGUUUGUGUUAGAAAUGUGUUUUUAAAAGAGAUUAUUAAGAAUAUUAAUUAUUUAGACCAACUAAUGUUAUUAUAAAAAUAGAGAAUCGAUUUAUAUAUCGUUAAAAUAUAAAGACUAAACCCAAAUGUUAUCAGAAAAUUGAAACUACAAUUUUAUGAUUAUCUUAUACACAUACCAUUAAUUAAUCUAGAUAAUUAGCACCCUUAAUACAUAAUGUGGUUUUUUUAUUAAAAUAAACUACUCCAACCCAUAAUGUAAAAAUAAAAAAAAUUGCUAGAAUAGUAUUUUGUUUCUUGAAGUAAUUAACAAUAUAUACUAAUUGAAUUAACUAAUAUAAGAUUAAAUUAUAUUAAAAUUUGAAUAUUAAAUAUUAAGCAUGAGAUAUAUAUAAUCCAAAAAUAACCAGAUUUAUAUAAUGAAAAAGAAUGAAUGAGCUGUCAAGGUGAAUGGCUUGUAUUACUUAAUUCUUUUUUAAAAUAAAGGUUUUACUCAACUCCACACUAUAAUACUAUGGCUGCAAUGAUAAUUUAAUUUAGGUCUAAAAUUACUCAUAAUUUACAUUCUCAUCUUCUAACAAUACUCCAAAUUCACUUUAUAAUAAUUACGUAAUAUUCUACUCUUAUUUAUCUCACUUUCACCUGGAGGGCUCACCGUUAAAUUUUCUGUCUUCAUUUCUUUUUAUAAAUUUGUAAUAACAAAAGACAACUUUAUCCCAUUGAGGACUGCUACAAUAAAAAAAAUAUUCUUGUACUAAAACAUUUGGCAUAAUUUUUUUUUAUUUUUUUCAAAACUAAACAUAAUUUUACGAGGGAAAACAUGAUUUUUUUUUAUUUAUUUUUUAGGUUGAAUCAUGCAACAAAGCAAAAGCUU